GGGCAGAACUCUACGUCAGUAUGAAGCAGUUUUAAGAUUCAUUUAACUAGCUUGCGUCAGCUUUCGAUAACAUAAACUACUCCCGGUUCGUCGUCAAGUUACUUCCGGUUUUACGUGCGGUCACUUGAACCGACACAAAUAAACUGUAGAGCCCCCUAGUGGAAUGAGAGGAGUGAAUUCAACACCAAAAAUGGAACGUCAUUGGGUUUUUCAGCAGAGAAAAGGUCUAAAAAUACUUCACUAAUCACAAACUCAACCUUCUUCCAUGGCCAUCUUAAAUGUAAGCUAUUAAGAGAGGAAUGCUCGCAAAACAUCACAGGAGGAAGGGACAGAAACUGGCAUUCAUGAAACGCUGAUAAGCAGCACAUAAAGCCGGGGAGAGAUGCAGCUUCUGUGCACAGAGCAGAAAAAACAAGGAGACAGAUGGAAGGACAAAGAAACAGAGGGCAGAAGACAGAAGUUCAGAGGAGAGAGAAAAGGGAAUGUGAGAGAGGGAGAGUCCAACACCGCGUCCCGAGUUCUUGCCACAAAAAAAAAAAACAAGUGCUGAAGAGCGAAUUGAAAGUGAAGCCAAAGAGCCUGGUCAAUGUGUUUUGGUAUAAAUAGCCCAAUUAGUAUUGCAGAGACGUCGUUGGGUUCUGAGAUGCAGCGUGGCAGAGCCGGUCUAAUUACUGGCUAACUUGACCAAUUAUUCCAGUGUUUAACCAGGCAGAAAGCAAAUCGCAGCACCUGGUUAUUUAGAAACACCGGCUGCCCUGUCGGGCUUCACGCUCUCAGCUGUCAUCUCCAGUCACUGUCAACAUCUUCCUCCUCAAAACACACGAGUUCACACACCGCACCAGGCUCUGAAGGCGGUGUGGUAACAUAUUUUGGUGUAACUGAUGUUGUAAUUUUCUUAUUUCAAAAUAAAUUUCCACAUGCAAUUACA